CGGUAAUUCCAGCUCCAAUAGCCNAUAUUAAAGUUGCUGCGGUUAAAAAGCUCGUAGUUCAAUCUCACGAUUGGAAAGACGGAGAAAGCGCCGUAUUAGGGCUCUCUUCUUCGAGUUGCUCGGCUCGUCGUCGUCGUCUUUUUCCUCUUUCCCGAACGAUGGAAGAGGAUGGUGGCGAGAGCUCAUACGACGACGACGAACGAAAGUUGUUAUUAAGACGGUGCUACGAACGACGGUACUAGCCGAGUCGGCUAUAUAUAGGCGUCGGUAGCGGAUUUAUNGUCGGUCGGUCGGUCGGUCGGCCGUGUUCGCGGAUGAUGCGCAGUCCUAUCCCUUCACGCCGCGCUUCGGGUUAGCUAGAAAGACGUUGUCUUCCGCUAGCUCCUUUAGCGCGGUCGUGGCUUCUAAGAAAAAGGGUAGGACGCUGUUGCGUCUCCGUCAACGGUCGCCGCCGCCGCCGCCGUCGUCGUCGUCCGCCGCCGAUCGUACUAAUGCUAUACUACUACUAGUACUACUACGUUCACCGUCGACUCCGUCUUCGUUCGUUGCGUCGUCGCUUUCGCUCUUUCUUUCUUACUUCCAUUAUAAUGGAAGGAAAAGAGUGUAGAUGGCGUUGCCAGCAGCGGUAGAGGAGGUGUCCCGGCGUAAGAAAGCCGUCCCUUUCCAUGAACAACAAUGGCCGGCCCGCCCGGCGACAAAACGCGGCGGCUUUCAUCGGUUUGUUUCCCUGGGAGUAGAACGGGGGUAUGAUCGCUUUUGUUGUUGUCGUCUCGCUCGGUAAGUAAGUGAGUUAGUAAGCUAUGUAGCUAGUUGAAGUAAGCAGUCACUCCUCUACGGAGCGAGCGGCUUCUUCCUCGCUGAUGCUUCCUGCCUGCUUCUACUAGUAAAAGCGUUUCGAACACGCCGCGCAUCGUACCUCUUAGUACGCGUUUUCAGGGGCUGCUGCUGCUGAUGAUCGGCCCGCGUUUGCGCGCCCGCGCUCGGCCGGCCACUUUCACUUUGACAAAAUUAGAGUGCUCAGAGCGGGCAAGAUCUGAAGCCCGAAUGGAGGUGCAUAGAAUGAUCUAAGAUGACCUCGCGAUNUAAACGUUUGUCGGUUUAUGGGGUCGCGAGGUAAUGAUUAAAGGGGACGGACGGGGGCGUAAGUAUGGCCCGGUUAGAGGUGAAAUUCUUGGACCCGGGCCAGACUAGCUACUGCGAAAGCAUUCGCCAAGAACGUUUUCAUUAAUCAAGAACGAAAGUCAGAGGAUCGAAGGCGAUCAGAUACCGCCCUAGUUCUAACCAUAAACUAUGCCAACUAGCGAUCCGUCGGAGUCAUUCCCACGACUCGGCGGGGAGCCCCCGGGAAACCGAAGUCUUUAGGUUCCGGGGGAAGUAUGGUUGCAAAGCUGAAACUUAAAGGAAUUGACGGAAGGGCACCACCAGGAGUGGAGCCUGCGGCUUAAUUUGACUCAACACGGGGAAACUCAUCAGGCCCGGACACCGGAAGGAUUGACAGAUUGAGAGCUCUUUCUCGAUUCUGUGGAUGGUGGUGCAUGGCCGUUCUUAGUUGGUGGAGCGAUUUGUCUGGUUGAUUCCGAUAACGAACGAGACUCUACCCUAUUAACUAGUCGGAGUAUCGUUACCCGAGAGAGGUUUCCCUCUCGCGCCGAUAUCCGGGAUGGCGGCAACGACGAAUUGAGGGUCUCGCCCCUGCCGUUUUUCGUCGUUCGCUGUUGUCGUCGCGGCUGCCCGCGUUCGCUGCAUGCAGCUGCUGCUGCUGCCGCUGCCUCACGGUGGUGGUGGUACGUAGUAAUGCGUGUUCGUACGCGGUUAGCCGCGCGGCUCAGCGCUCGAGUGGACGGUAUAGGCGGUCGGGCUCCUCGUUCGUUUUGCCGCCUCUCCCGGGUCGGACAACGUGAGKGGGUUCCAUGAGGGGUGUACUCCGCAAACUAUCUUCUUAGAGGGAUCGGCGGUGUCCAGCCGCACGAGAAAGAGCAAUAACAGGUCUGUGAUGCCCUUAGAUGUUCUGGGCAGCACGCGCGCUACAAUGCAGGGAUCAAAGCGCUUUCCCCCUCCGAAAGGAGCGGGUAACCGUUUGAAACCCCUGCCCGAUUGGGAUUGGAGAUUGCAAUUCUUCUCCAUGAACGAGGAAUUCCCAGUAAGAGCGAGUCAGCAGCUCGCGUUGAUUACGUCCCUGCCCUUUGUACACACCGCCCGUCGCUANNANNGAUUGAAUGAUUCAGUGAGGACGUCGGACUGACGCCCUCGGUUGCCACCCGCGUCGAAGGGAACUACCUCCUUUACUACUGGCGGCGCCGCUCCGUCUCCUUCUCGUCUCACCGAGUCGGUUGCACGGAGAGAGGCGGCGGUGGUAGUAGUGGGAGACCCGCGUACGUUCGGGAAACGGCGCCCCCGCGGCUGUCGGGAAGACGCCCGAACUGGAUCAUUUAGAGGAAGUAAAAGUCGUAACAAGGUUUCCGUAGGUGAACCUGCGGAAGGAUCA
rnacentral:rRNA from 1 species